UAAAGAUGGCUACAGAAUCUGCUGAUCUUGUAGCAGCGGGCAGAUCAUUCCAUAAAUGUGGAAGCGAUCCCGAGAAGAUGCGUGAGAGAGAUUUUUUUACCUUUUUGGGAUGGCACCACAAGACGUCGUCCGUUUGCAGAGCGUAGGGAUGUGGCGGGUAUAUAAGUCUGCAUUAGCGAGCGACAUCAAGGUACUCCUCCGUGUUGCUCCACUGCUGUCUGUCCAAUCCAUGGGCUCUUCAAUAUCACAGCCGAGGUUGGGCACAGGAGCUGGAAACGAUGACUUCCCGCACGUCUGCUGCCGCUCGACCUUCGCCUCCAAGUGCAUGUUUUCGGUCUCGGGCUCAGCACAAAGCCUCGAGCGGCCCAAAGACACGCUGUACGCUCUCUUCCUCUUACCCAUUUUCAGUUUCAGCAAGAAAAACAAAGUACAAAGAACCAGAGAAAAGCAAAACGCCGCCAUCUCGUAGCUACUCUGACAAACUUCGUCGCGUCUUUUCACAGAUGGCAGUAGCAGUGACGUGACGUGACGUGACUUAACGUUGCGUGUGACCACUGCGUAUCGAGCGUCGUUUUUCGUGACGAAGAUUGAGCUUCGUUUUUCAUGACGAAGAUUGCAGUAUUUUCUCCCACGAGUCUCUCGGACCCUCAAAAAUCAUCCUGCUUGUUUUGAGUUUCUGUGGCUUUGUUGUAUUUACUAAUCUGUCUCUGCAGAACAACACUAUAUCAACAGGCCAAGGCCAUGACAACACCCGUGAUUCCAGACGAUGUAAUACAAAUGAAGACUUUCUCCACAAAGAUCAAACUUACAAUAGUAGCAAUCACUCUGGAGUUAUACUGAACUCUUAUGAGGUGAAGUUUAAUCUGUUGGGGAUGGUCUUUGCCACACUAGGGGUCUUUGUCACAUCAAUGUAUCAAGUGGUAAGUCAUCUGGUAUUUACACAGUCAACCCA